rnacentral:rRNA from 1 species
UACGUAGGUGGCAAGCGUUGUCCGGAUUUACUGGGUGUAAAGGGCGUGCAGCCGGGAAGACAAGUCAGAUGUGAAAUCCCGCGGCUCAACCGCGGAACUGCAUUUGAAACUGUUUUUCUUGAGUAUCGGAGAGGUAACCGGAAUUCCUAGUGUAGCGGUGAAAUGCGUAGAUAUUAGGAAGAACACCAGUGGCGAAGGCGGGUUACUGGCCUGUAACUGACACUGAGGCUCGAAAGCGUGGGGAGCAAACAGG